rnacentral:tRNA from 1 species
GGGGUUGUGGCUCAGUGGUAGAGCACUCGCCUAGCAUGUGCAGUGCGCUGGGUUCAAUCCUCAGCACCACCU